CCUACGGGGGGCAGCAGUGGGGAAUAUUGGACAAUGGGGGGAACCCUGAUCCAGCCAUGCCGCGUGUGUGAAGAAGGCCCUUGGGUUGUAAAGCACUUUCAGUGAGGAAGAACGCCUGGUGGUUAAUACCCAUCAGGAAAGACAUCACUCACAGAAGAAGCACCGGCUAACUCCGUGCCAGCAGCCGCGGUAAUACGGAGGGUGCGAGCGUUAAUCGGAAUUACUGGGCGUAAAGCGCGCGUAGGUGGCUUGAUAAGCCGGUUGUGAAAGCCCCGGGCUCAACCUGGGAACGGCAUCCGGAACUGUCAAGCUAGAGUGCAGGAGAGGAAGGUAGAAUUCCCGGUGUAGCGGUGAAAUGCGUAGAGAUCGGGAGGAAUACCAGUGGCGAAGGCGGCCUUCUGGACUGACACUGACACUGAGGUGCGAAAGCGUGGGUAGCAAACAGGAUUAGAUACCCUUGUAGUC
rnacentral:rRNA from 1 species